CCCCUUUCAGGAUGGCACCUGGAGAGAUUCCAGUACUCUACCAGUCUUGGCUAAGUGAGGGAGAGUCAAGCAGAGGUCUACCCAUUUCAUCCCUAGCUUGGCCAGUAGCUAGUGAGUGGAAGGCAAUCUGCUACAAGU